AUUGAACGCUGGCGGUAUGCUUAACACAUGCAAGUCGAACGCGAACGGUACUUCGGUACUUAUUAGAGUGGCGGACGGGUGAGUAACGCGUGGGAAUCUACCUAGUAGUUGGGGGACAACCUGGUGAAAACCAGGCUAAUACCGAAUACGCCCUACGGGGGAAAGAUAGCCUCUUCUUGAAAGCUUUCGCUAUUAGAUGAGCCCGCGUUGGAUUAGCUAGUUGGUGGGGUAAUGGCCUACCAAGUCUACGAUCUUUAGCUGGUUUUAGAGGAUGAUCAGCAACACUGGGACUGAGACACGGCCCAG
rnacentral:rRNA from 1 species